rnacentral:rRNA from 1 species
UGGGGAAUCUUGCGCAAUGGGCGAAAGCCUGACGCAGCCAUGCCGCGUGGAUGAUGAAGGUCUUAGGAUUUGUAAAAUCCUUUCACCGGUGAAGAUAAUGACUGUAGCCGGAGAAGAAGCCCCGGCUAACUUCGUGCCAGCAGCCGCGGUAAUACGAAGGGGGCUAGCGUUGCUCGGAAUUACUGGGCGUAAAGGGAGCGUAGGCGGACAUUUAAGUCAGGGGUGAAAUCCCGAGGCUCAACCUCGGAACUGCCUUGAUACUGGGUGUCUUGAGUGUGAGAGAGGUAUGUGGAACUCCGAGUGUAGAGGUGAAAUUCGUAGAUAUUCGGAAGAACACCAGUGGCGAAGGCGACAUACUGGCUCAUUACUGACGCUGAGGCUCGAAAGCGUGGGGAGCAAAACAGGAUUAGAUACCCCUGGUAGUCCACGCCGUAAAACGAUGAUUGCCUAGUUGUCGGGAAAGCUUGCUUUUUCGGUGACGCAGCUAACGCAUUAAGCAAAUCCGCCUGGGGAGUACGGUCGCAAGAUUAAAAACUUAAAUUGAAUUGACGGGGGUCAUAGCUGUUUCCUG